AACUACAAUAAUAAAGCAAUUAGACUUCGCUUUCGGCCUCCGUUUCUUCCAAGGGAAUGUUAUUAUUAUUAUCGUUGGCACCUCUAAACGCAUUUCCUAUCCGCCCAAUUGCAUUUCCUAUCCCUCCAAAUGCAUUUCCUAUACCUUCUAAUCGGGUAAGUAAAGAAUCAUUCAUACAGUUGGUUGAAUACACAUACCUAGGAAAGAAGCUAUACCAUUCCUGAUAAAUUUGGGCAUCCUUUUGAGAGCACCUGGACAUUCUGAUACGGUUAGAAUAAAUUACAGAAAUAUUAAACAAACCCAUUUCGUAAAAGAAAAGAAAAUUUCCUAUAACAAAGAGUGAAGAGGCUUCAAUUUCGUAGCCUGUCGCGUCGAUAUGUUUAUCAAAUAAAUACAUCAAACCUUUCGUUACAAUAACGACACAACUUUGUACACCCAGCACUUGAAACAAACCAAAAAGCAUAUGCUUGAGUGUCCAAAUUGGAAUACAAACUGUAUGUUAGCGUUUAGCAAGAUAAUUUCACUUACCAAGCAAUAAAAUGAAAAAUAAAGCAGCCGAAAUACUGCAUGUGGAACAGAUGAGUGCCUUAUUUAAGUUUAGUCUACCA